rnacentral:rRNA from 1 species
UUGAUCAUGGCUCAGAUUGAACGCUGGCGGCAGGCCUAACACAUGCAAGUCGAGCGGUAACAGGGGAAGCUUGCUUCUCGCUGACGAGCGGCGGACGGGUGAGUAAUGUAUGGGGAUCUGCCCGAUAGAGGGGGAUAACCACUGGAAACGGUGGCUAAUACCGCAUAAUCUCUUAGGAGCAAAGCAGGGGAACUUCGGUCCUUGCGCUAUCGGAUGAACCCAUAUGGGAUUAGCUAGUAGGUGGGGUAAUGGCUCACCUAGGCGACGAUCCCUAGCUGGUCUGAGAGGAUGAUCAGCCACACUGGGACUGAGACACGGCCCAGACUCCUACGGGAGGCAGCAGUGGGGAAUAUUGCACAAUGGGCGCAAGCCUGAUGCAGCCAUGCCGCGUGUAUGAAGAAGGCCCUAGGGUUGUAAAGUACUUUCAGUCGGGAGGAAGGCGUUGAUGCUAAUAUCAUCAACGAUUGACGUUACCGACAGAAGAAGCACCGGCUAACUCCGUGCCAGCAGCCGCGGUAGUACGGAGGGUGCAAGCGUUAAUCGGAAUUACUGGGCGUAAAGCGCACGCAGGCGGUUGAUUAAGUUAGAUGUGAAAUCCCCGGGCUUAACCUGGGAAUGGCAUCUAAGACUGGUCAGCUAGAGUCUUGUAGAGGGGGGUAGAAUUCCAUGUGUAGCGGUGAAAUGCGUAGAGAUGUGGAGGAAUACCGGUGGCGAAGGCGGCC